rnacentral:rRNA from 1 species
AUGCAAGUCGAACGGUAACUUUUAGUGCUUGCACUGAAAGACGAGUGGCGGACGGGUGCGUAACGCGUAUGCAAUCUACCUUUUACUAGGGUAUAGCCCAGAGAAAUUUGGAUUAAUCCCCUAUAAUAUCAUGAAAUCGCAUGGUUUUAUGAUUAAAGCUUCGGUGGUAAAAGAUGAGCAUGCGUCCUAUUAGUUUGUAGGUGAGGUAACGGCUCACCUAGACUACGAUAGGUAGGGGCCUUGAGAGGGGGAUCCCCCACACUGGUACUGAGACACGGACCAGACUCCUACGGGAGGCAGCAGUGAGGAAUAUUGGACAAUGGACGAAAGUCUGAUCCAGCUAUGCCGCGUGCAGGAUGACAGCCCUACGGGUUGUAAACUGCUUUUAUACAGGAAGAAACACCCCGACGUGUCGGGGCUUGACGGUACUGUAAGAAUAAGGAUCGGCUAACUCCGUGCCAGCAGCCGCGGUAAUACGGAGGAUCCAAGCGUUAUCCGGAAUUAUUGGGUUUAAAGGGCCCGCCGGCGGUUUUUUAAGUCAGAGGUGAAAUCCUGCGGCUCAACUGUAGAAUUGCCUUUGAAACUGAAA